CAGUCGCCGCGGGAAAACGUAGGUGGCAAGCGUUAUCCGGAAUUAUUGGGCGUAAAGCGCGCGUAGGCGGUUUUUUAAGUCUGAUGUGAAAGCCCACGGCUCAACCGUGGAGGGUCAUUGGAAACUGGAAAACUUGAGUGCAGAAGAGGAAAGUGGAAUUCCAUGUGUAGCGGUGAAAUGCGCAGAGAUAUGGAGGAACACCAGUGGCGAAGGCGACUUUCUGGUCUGUAACUGACGCUGAUGUGCGAAAGCGUGGGGAUCAAACAGGAUUAGAUACCCGUGUAGUCCCUGUCUCUUAUAA
rnacentral:rRNA from 1 species